rnacentral:rRNA from 1 species
UACAGAGGUCUCAAGCGUUGUUCGGAUUCAUUGGGCGUAAAGGGUGCGUAGGCGGCGCGGUAAGUCGGGUGUGAAAUCUCGGAGCUUAACUCCGAAACUGCAUUCGAUACUGCCGUGCUCGAGGACUGGAGAGGAGACUGGAAUUUACGGUGUAGCGGUGAAAUGCGUAGAUAUCGUAAGGAAGACCAGUGGCGAAGGCGGGUCUCUGGACAGUUCCUGACGUGAGGCACGAAGGCCAGGGGAGCAAACGGG